rnacentral:rRNA from 1 species
UCUGGUAUGAAAGGUUUGACGAGAUAUUAACUGUUUCAUAAAAAUUUAUAAUAGAAUUUUAUUUUUUAGUCAAAAAGCUAAAAUUUAUUUAAAAGACGAGAAGACCCUAUAAAUCUUUAUAUUUAUAUUAUUAUAGUUUUGUAGAUUUUUUUUAUUAUGAUAAUAGAUUAUAUUUUAUUGGGGUGAUAUUAAAAUUUGAUAAACUUUUAAUUGUUUAAAUCAUUAAUUUAUGAAUAAUUGAUCCGUUAUUAGCGAUUAAAAAAACAAGUUACCUUAGGGAUAACAGCGA